rnacentral:rRNA from 1 species
AGUGAACGCUGGCGGUAGGCCUAACACAUGCAAGUCGAACGGCAGCACAGUAAGAGCUUGCUCUUACGGGUGGCGAGUGGCGGACGGGUGAGGAAUACAUCGGAAUCUACUUUUUCGUGGGGGAUAACGUAGGGAAAAUUACGCUAAUACCGCAUACGACCUACGGGUGAAAGCAGGGGAUCUUCGGACCUUGCGCGAUUGAAGGAGCCGAUGUCGGAUUAGCUAGUUGGCGGGGUAAAGGCCCACCAAGGCGACGAUCCGUAGCUGGUCUGAGAGGAUGAUCAGCCACACUGGAACUGAGACACGGUCCAGACUCCUACGGGAGGCAGCAGUGGGGAAUAUUGGACAAUGGGCGCAAGCCUGAUCCAGCCAUACCGCGUGGGUGAAGAAGGCCUUCGGGUUGUAAAGCCCUUUUGUUGGGAAAGAAAAGCAGCAGGUUAAUACCCCGCUGUUCUGACGGUACCCAAAGAAUAAGCACCGGCUAACUUCGU